UGAAGGCAGAAUGCCAGAACUUGAGCUUGGCGUUUCCUGAGUAUUAUCCAUCCUGACCUUGGCAGAGAAGAAAAGAAGCCAAAACCUUUACAGGUGGGAGCUGAGCCGUGCUCUAGGAGUGAAUCCCUCACAGCUGGGCUGCAGGAGGAGGAAUCCCACAUUCACUCUGUGACCCUCCUUAGGCUGGGUGACAGCUCGGGACAACAAACCACUUCCUGGGGAGAGGAAAGUGCUGUUCCACAUGCCUGUGAAGCCAGCACUUGUCUCCUGGUGAGCGCAGCUUUGGUGGCUGGUCUCUGGAGACUCCAGCCUUUUUCCAAACACUGGGAAUUGUUGGGAAUCCGUGUUCCAGAGAGCUUGCAGUCAGAAUCAAAAGAAGACAAAGGCAAUUUAAAAGAAAUGAGGACAAGAGAAAUUUAAGUGUAUGUGAUAUUCAAGAUGUCAUUAAUUGUAAAUAAUGAUUUGCCUCACUUUGGCACUGCUCCCAGGAAGUCACACCAGGCUCAAGAAUGCAACACGAUGACGCACGACUUGAAAAUACUAUGUCAAACCCCACCUGGUUCCUGUUAGCUGAAGGUCUUGUUGACACUGCUCAUUUGUUCUUCACUCAACUCAAAACUCAUGGACUCAUCGAAGGAUGCAGCUUGAUGGAACUGCUUGGCAAACCCUAAUAGAUUUAAAAGGUUUAAUAAAUUACUAAUUAAAGGAGGAGAAAAAACAGAGCUCAGAAAUGUUUGCAAACAUGACGUCAUCAUAGCUUGUGCAGAUAGGAUUUCUCUGAAACCUGCAAGUGAAUCACACCAACCUGUUUUUUGAACCAGAACUUCAUGGGGGUGCCCUCUAAAAGCCCAGCUAACAGCAGAUAGAGUAUUCGUGAAGUACUGAUUAUCCAUAUUUGGGGUUUUUUGGAGGAGUAUGCAUUGAAUAUCUUUCAUAUCUCUUACACAAAUAUAGAGAAGUAUUUUAUCUGCUGUCAUCUCUCUUAGCCUCCUGCAGACCACCUGACCCAGCAGCUUCGUUUGCUAUUGCUACAAAACUCGAGUUUAACUUUGAGGGCUAAAAUGCAGCUUGAAGGGAUACAGGAAGCUGGAGAGCCUGGUGGCAAUAAUCAGCAUCUCUUGAGGAGUGACUCCAUGUUCCUGAGCUGACCCCCAAGGGUGAGAGUGACAAAGCCUGGGUCGGAAAGAAUUUCUGCAGUUUGUAAAAUUUUCUGGCUUUUCACAGGUGCUUUGCACCCAGGGGAGGGUAUCUCAAUCUGUUGGAUGAGUCAGAACCUGUCCAUGGAAGAAAGGGCUGGGUGACAAAGAAGAGUGUCGCUGGUGCCUCUGUGCAGGUCUCCUGGCUUCAGCACCGGGAAGUUUCCCUGAAAUUGGUUUCUGCAUUGAAGGACCCAUGGGCUGUAACUAUCUGCCAUUAAGAGAGGGAAUCAGGAAACGUGGAUAGUGCCCUGAGUGCCUCUGAUGCCUCUGCACACUCCCAAUCCAUGGGGACUAUCAGGGCUCAGCAGAGACGUGGGCUGAAGGAAAUCUGAGCUGGUGAAUGACUGUCGAUACCCGAACUUCUGCAACUUCGUGUGAAAGUACCAAGCCCAGGGUGGAUAUGGGGUCACAAAAAAGCUUUGUUUCUAAAGGCACUUUUCAGAAGAACCUCAUUUUAAGGCAACGCUAGCCCUGGAAAUAACUUAUUGCACUUAUUUAUAAGAUGCUCAUGAAUAAUUUAUACUACAUUAACUUGUAAAUGUGAUAGCUUUUGAAAUCAUUAGGCUCCAGUAGCUUGCUUUGUAAGUCCGUGGGCUGGAUCUCAUUAUUAAAAGCUAAUUAGCUCAUUCAGCUGGAACACAUUUUGUCAAAUAGCUAUAUCAGUACUCUUCUU